rnacentral:rRNA from 1 species
CCUACGGGUGGCAGCAGUGGGGAAUUUUGGACAAUGGGCGCAAGCCUGAUCCAGCUAUUCCGCGUGUGGGAAGACGGCCUUCGGGUUGUAAACCACUUUUGUAGAGAACGAAAAGUCUAUUGAUAAUACCGAUAGAAGAUGCCGGUACUCUAAGAAUAAGCACCGGCUAACCACGUGGCAGCAGCCGGGGUAAUACGUCGGGUGCGGGCGUUAUUCGGAAUUACUGGGCGUAAGGGGUGUGAAGGUGGGUUUGCAAGAUGGAUGGGAAAGCCCCGGGCUUAACCUGGGAAAGCCAUACAUGACUGCAAGACUAGAGUGCGUCAGAGGGGGGUGGAAUUCCAAGUGUAGCAGUGAAAUGCGUAGAUAUUUGGAAGAACACCGAUGGCGAAGGCAGCCCCCUGGGACGCAACUGACGCUGAUACACGAAAGCGUGGGGAGCAAACAGGAUUAGAUACCCUGGUAGUC